GGUGUUUUCCACUCAGACAAUGAGAGAGAGGAGCUGUCAGACGGUCCGAGCGCAAAUCACGGGUCGUCUUGUGGAUGGGAGCACAAACUGUGAGGCUGCGAGGCUGUUUCCCUGAUCGUGUGCUUGCAGUAAAACCCCAUCUUGGCUAGGUAUUAUAGCUUGAUUAAGAAAACUCCGGAUUGGACGUUGGAACGCUGGAUACCUGGAUUCUUCUCUGGACAGAGAUGGCGAGCCAAGCCCGAACUGAACCAACCUUUUGACCGAAGAACAUCAGUCUUCUUUCACAACCUCCAGCCAAGUGGUAACAACACAGACUACCACAA